rnacentral:rRNA from 1 species
UACAGAGGUCUCAAGCGUUGUUCGGAAUCACUGGGCGUAAAGGGUGCGUAGGCGGCGGGGAAAGUCAGAUGUGAAAUCCGGAGGCUCAACCUCCGAAUUGCAUCCGAUACUCCCUCGCUAGAGAUUUGUAGGGGGACUUGGAAUUCUCGGUGUAGCAGUGAAAUGCGUAGAUAUCGAGAAGAACGCUCGCAGCGAAAGCGAAGUCCUGGGCAACAUCUGACGCUGAUGCACGAAGGCUAGGGGAGCAAACGGG